CGGCGUCCUGUCCGCAGGUCCCCUCGGGCUGUGGCCGCAGCGGCAACUGCUGGGUUGCGGAGUCCUGGCUGGCUGAGGGAAUGGACACUGAAAGGUGCCCGGAGACCCUGGCACCCGCGUCAGAUGCCGGCCGGCGAGGGUUCUGAGAGAGAGAGACCUUGAGCAGCGCUGCGCGCGUCCUCAGCUCUGCGAGCCCCCUCUGGAGCGGCGGGGAGGUUAUUAAAAUGAAGACUGUUUCCAUGCUGGCCCCCAUGAAAGGGAUUCCUGUGUAUCUCAAGCAACAAAGAGAGCUGUGGAGCAAGGAGAUUCCCUGUGUAAUCGGGAGCAUUGGAUGUGAAUCCCAGGUCUGGCAUGGGAACCUUGGUGAGUGAUGCUGAGUGGAAUGUUACGUAUCACCAUCAACAUCAGCAUCCAUCCCACCACCAUCAUCACAACCACCACCACCACCACCAUCAUCAUCAUCAUCAUCAUCAUCAU
rnacentral:lncRNA from 1 species